GAUGAACGCUGGCGGCGUGCCUAACACAUGCAAGUCGAACGAAUCAGAUAUUCAACACUGAGCGUUUAGACGAGGGAAUGAAGUUAGCCAGCGUCAAGGACGAACGAUAGAGAGUCCUUGAUGCGUUCAAAAAGUGUGCUAACACAGUAUAGUCUGAAUGUUGAGUGUUGAAUAUCUGAUUAGUGGCGGACGGGUGAGUAACACGUAGGAAUCUACCCUUAAGACGGGGACAACCCAGGGAAACUUGGGCUAAUACCGGAUGAGAGUGCGAGAGAUUGCAUUUAAAAGGAUGGCGAAAGUUGUCGCUUAGGGAUGAGCCUGCGGUCUAUUAGUUAGUUGGUGAGGUAAGAGCUCACCAAGGCGAUGAUAGAUAGGCGGCCUUAACGGGUGGUCGCCCACACUGGGAUUGAGAUACGGCCCAGACUCCUACGGGAGGCAGCAGUCGAGAAUAGUCUACAAUGGCCGGAAGGCUGAUAGUGCGACGCCG
rnacentral:rRNA from 1 species